UUGAGGGUGCAUAAGGACUGGAACCUGCUGAGAGCUCCAGGCCUCUUGCUCUCUCAC
rnacentral:ncRNA from 2 species